GCUUCCCUGAGAAUCCCCACGAUCUGACAAACACAAGAAACGAGAAACUAACAAGACAAGGAAUCCCAGGGCUGCGACAAAUUACACAGCGUUAUAUAAUAUGUUCAGCCUACCAAAAGGUGUGGACGCAAGAUAAUUCUCUGAGCAGUGACGGUAAAUGUGGAGAAGUUGAAGCAAAACGGUGACAUCCUUGUCUUGGAGGAGAGAACAUCAUCUUAUCAAUAAAUGACAUCAUUCGACUCCAGAACUCAGGCUGUCACAUAAGAAGCACUUGAGGUGGAAGGUUGGCAUUGAGAGGAGACUUGGUGAACGUGCUGGAUUCAGAGCAGCCUCUGGUGCCAAAGAGAGCUGCUGUAGCUGCCUGGAACGGACAAACUUACAAAGAUAAAGUUGAAGAAAGAUUCAGAAAGGCUAUGUUUUCUGUCCGCGAAUACUGAAAUGCUUUCCUGAGUCUUGCCCAUUUGAAAUUACAAUGCAAAAGGCUGGCCUAAUUCCAAAACGACACCCACCGCUUCCUGAGUAUCCCACGUCACCUCCCACACAAACCAUCGAAAUUCAACGAAGAGUAAGAGAACAGAGGAAAGUUGAAGUCCAUCAUUUGCCUGAGAGAUAUUCUCUGGAAAGAGGAGCUUUUCCCUGGUCUCUUUGUGAGGUCAAGGGGAUUUCAAGUUGAUUUAAACACACGGAAAUACAAUCAUACUUGGUGUUGGUUUAUCUAAAAAAUAGCACUGUUAGAUGACCUCUGCACAGAAAUGUUUCAGCAGUUGGUGAAUCAGAUUUUCGGAUUCAGGUAGUUUUGGGCAUGAUUGUAGCAUAGGCAAUUUGGGUUAAAGGCCGGUUUACAUUAUAACCCCUGGUUCAUGCAAAGGCCUUUCCUUCCUCAUUCAGUGUGAGUAAUAGGAUUAUAUGUCUCCAAGCAUUCAACUCACUAUUCAAAAGCUCAGAAAUUAAAGUUUUUCAAACACUGGUUGGAACAGUUUCCAGGUGCAGUGUCAUGUAAAAUGAUGCCAUACACACCUUCCCUCUUCCCUCUUGAGAUUCACAUCAAACGCAUCAGGUUCUUGGUA